UUUCUUUUUAUCAUCAAAAGACAAAAAUUAAUUUCAUCACUCGCACCAAAACCAAACCCCAACUUUCGUCGAAUCAUUCCCCGAAGAAUCUUCAUUCUCUCGUUGAAUCAUUCACCGAAGAAUCGUUCAUCGAUGAAUCUUCAUCUCUCGCUUUCAAUCUCUCCUAAGUUCAAUUCGCCGAAUCACUCGCUUACAUCUUCAUCUCUCGUGAAUCUUACAUCUUCAACUUCAAUUUGCGGAAUCAUUCACCGAAUCUUCAUCUUUUGCUUAGCCUGGUGGAAAUUCACCAGAAGGGUUAAAAGCUAGUGAUGUGGAUCCACGAGUGGUAUUUCAUCAAGGGAUACCAUCAGGUGCUGCCAAGUUUGCCUAUGACCCCAUUCAGAAGAUACUUGCCCUUUCUACAAAGGAUGGCCGGAUUAAACUAUAUGGAAAGAUAAUGCUCAAGCCGUGCUUGAUUCGAGUGAGAAUCUACCUAGCAAGUUUUUACAGUUCAUUCAGAACCAAGGCAUUCUUUUAAAUGUUACUUCCAAUAAUCAUAUCGAGGCAAGUGUACUUAUGGACUUGCUCACAUUUAUAAUAAUUUAAUCCAUUACUAAGAUUUAAAAUAACUAGCCUUUGUUUUAUUCAUGAAAGAACCGCAAUGUAAAUUUAUAUUUUCUUAGUAAUUGUUUAAAUAUUUUUGUCCUGUUUCAUUUCCCAUGUUGCUGCAUUUUGAUUAGUUUUGUUACUUUAGAAAAAUUGAAAUAUUCAACGGCUAGAUAAAUAUCACUAGUAUAGCUAUCAACAUAGGGGUCUUAUUAGAAGUAAUUAGAAGAUAAAUCAUAAUCUUAGCUUCUGGUUAGUAUACCGUAAAUCCCCACGAUUUAUCAAUAUAUCAGAAUCAAUUCAGCAAGGAAUUACUUAAAAGUGUUUUUUCUGAUGUAAUCAUAUCAAAUAUAGGUAUUUGGAUCAGCUUGGUAUGUCAGCUACUUAUGGCACCGGGGCAUAUUGCAGACAGACUUUUAUAGGAGGAUACUAUGGUCUAUUGAAUACUACUUUCAAGCCAAAUCCAGACUAUUAUAGGUACUAACAGUUGAAUUUCAGGGUUGAAGAAUGACCAACACAAUUAAUUUUUGACUGAUUCAGUUAUGCGUUAGUGUCUUUAAUUCUUCCUAUAUGAGAUUUUUUUGUCUCCAUAUUUCUUGAUUAAUUUCAUGCUACUUUGUCAAAGGACCUAUUUUGAAUAUAGGGUAGCAUUUAGAAUAAGUUCAUAAAUCAUAAUGCUAUUUUAAGACAUUAGUUCGGUUAUGUGAUUUCUUUCUUACAAUGCUAUUUUAAGACAUUAGUUCGGUUAUGUGAUUUCUUUCUUAUAACUGUGACAUGUUCUAUAUAAUGUAUAAUAUAUCUGUGUCAAGUUGUAUUCAUGCUUUUUAUAUUGCAACUAAGAUAUUGUAUGUGUAUGUAUUUGGCUGCUGAAUAUGCUCAACGUGGCCAAAUCACUGAAAAAGCUUAUGUUUAUUCCUUUGGAGUGGUACUGGUGGAGCUCGUUACUGGUAGAAAAGUUGUUUUUUUUUUAACAAGAAACGAAAUUGGUAGAAAAGUUGUUUGAUCUCACUAGGCCCAAGGGACAACAGUGCUUUGCUGAGUGGGUAAGUUAGCACUUGAGAGUAUGAUAUAAUAAUGAUAUUAUACUCUUAUCUUCUUCUACUUCAGGUUCUGCAUCACUUAACAACUGGUUUCUCUUGUUGCAUUUAUUGUUUUAUUUUUGUGUUUGUAAUUUAUAUGUACAGGUUAAGAGAAUGAUGGAAACAUGAUAUUCUUAUCUUCUUCUACUUCAGGUUCUGCUUCACUUAAUAACUGGUUUCUCUUGUUUCAUUUACUGUUUUAUUUUCUUCUUUUGAUGUAUGAUUGAACUGAUUUGGUAGUGCUCUAGGAUAUAUCGUUUUCUGACAGUGAAACAAUGGGUGAUUUGACAAGUCAGACUUGGGGCAGAUUGUUGGUGCUUUCAAGAUGCAGUAAAGAAAAGCAUAUGAAGUAUGAAAUUUUCUAUAAGGUUUCAAAUGCCUCUAGUGCCUCAUGCCAAACCAAUUCUCUUAAUCCAGACACUAAUGAAGAUGAUGACACUGAUGAACAUGAACAAGAGGUUUUUUUUUGUAAUUUUUGUAAUCUAAUGUGAUCUAAUGAAGAUUUUUGUAAUUUUUUAGGAUUGUUAUGACUUUACAUUUUCAUUUAAAUAUUACAUGAUACUUUUAGUUUUACAUGUUCGUAAGACUUGGUGAUAAAUUUUUAAAUAUGAUUGAAGGGUCCA